rnacentral:lncRNA from 1 species
AGAGGGAUGUAGCAAGGUGCUCUGUGUCCAGAGGUCCUUUCAUUGUCAUGAGUUUGUUAAAGCAUGAUGUAAGCCUACAGUGAUGGUCCAAGAUCUGCCAAUGGAUACCAGGAGCAUAUGUGUGGGAUGUUGAAGGAGAUGGCCACAAUGGCGUAGUGCAUUGCUAAGAGGAUCAAGACUAUGACACACAUUUCCUGCUGCUUCAUCUGCAAGAUUCGAUGCUAGGCAAUCAGACACAGCUGAAAAUGGACAACACUCCCUUGAUUCCCCGUGUGUAUAUGACUUGUACUCAUAAUGUGUUUAGUCAUCCCUGGCUCAUCAUUUAACAGUCAAAAGCCACAUCAUACAAGGUUCAUGCAUAUGUUUUCCACUACACCUUUUCUUAUGCUUAGUAAAAGCCAACUUAUAAGUGGAUUAAUGUCAGAUCUGUUUUCUCUCUUCUUUGUAAACAGCAAAGUGGCUGAGUGGGAGAAAUAAUGCUGUGAAAUCUCUGACGUGGGUGAAGGUUCCUGUGCGUCUCAUGAAGUUUGCAUCAUUUUUGAGCUAUAGAUACCUUCGAGGACUUUACUACAGCAUCAUCAACAAUCAGAAAACACUCCAGGAUUAUCAGUCAUCCAGCAAUGACCAUGAAGUCAGUCAACAACCUGAGGAUCUUAAGAACAGAUUCUGGACUCGUCAAGAUGCCAGGAGGGCAGAAGACAUCCAAGAGCUAAUUUAUGAAUGAUCACUCCCAAUGCAAGCGGAAAUCACAGGACCAAGCAAGUGUCAACACUCCAUUAAGC